rnacentral:rRNA from 1 species
UACGUAGGGGGCAAGCGUUGUCCGGAUUUAUUGGGCGUAAAGAGCGUGUAGGCGGCCUGACAGGUCUGCUGUGAAACCUCGAGGCUCAACCUCGAGAUGUCGGCGGAAACCGUCUGGCUAGAGUCCGGAAGAGGAGAGUGGAAUUCCUGGUGUAGCGGUGAAAUGCGCAGAUAUCAGGAAGAACACCUAUGGCGAAGGCAGCUCUCUGGGACGGUACUGACGCUGAGACGCGAAAGCGUGGGGAGCGAACAGG